rnacentral:rRNA from 1 species
UACAGAGGGUGCGAGCGUUGUCCGGAAUCACCGGGCGUAAAGGGCGCGUAGGUGGCGACCCAAGUCGAUGGUGAAAGCUCGCCGCUCAACGGCGAGUCGGCCACCGAUACUGGGUUGCUCGAGCACUGUAGAGGCUAAUGGAAUUCCGGGUGUAGCGGUGGAAUGCGUAGAGAUCCGGAAGAACACCGGUGGCGAAGGCGGCCUGCUGGGCAGUUACUGACACUGAGGCGCGACAGCGUGGGAGCAACAGG